rnacentral:rRNA from 1 species
UACGUAGGGAGCGAGCGUUACCCGGAAUCACUGGGCGUAAAGGGCGUGUAGGUGGUCAGGGAAGUCCCUCGUGAAAUCUCUGGGCUCAACCCAGAGGGGUCGGGGGAUACUCCUUGACUUGAGGGCAGUAGAGGAAGGUGGAAUUCCCGGCGUAGCGGUGAAAUGCGUAGAUAUCGGGUGGAACACCAGUGGCAAAAGCGGCCUUCUGGGCUGUCCCUGACACUGAGGCGCGAAAGCGUGGGGAGCGAACCGG